UGCAGUCGAGCGGACAGAUGGGAGCUUGCUCCCUGAUGUUAGCGGCGGACGGGUGAGUAACACGUGGGUAACCUGCCUGUAAGACUGGGAUAACUCCGGGAAACCGGGGCUAAUACCGGAUGGUUGUUUGAACCGCAUGGUUCAGACAUAAAAGGUGGCUUCGGCUACCACUUACAGAUGGACCCGCGGCGCAUUAGCUAGUUGGUGAGGUAACGGCUCACCAAGGCAACGAUGCGUAGCCGACCUGAGAGGGUGAUCGGCCACACUGGGACUGAGACACGGCCCAGACUCCUACGGGAGGCAGCAGUAGGGAAUCUUCCGCAAUGGACGAAAGUCUGACGGAGCAACGCCGCGUGAGUGAUGAAGGUUUUCGGAUCGUAAAGCUCUGUUGUUAGGGAAGAACAAGUGCCGUUCAAAUAGGGCGGCACCUUGACGGUACCUAACCAGAAAGCCACGGCUAACUACGUGCCAGCAGCCGCGGUAAUACGUAGGUGGCAAGCGUUGUCCGGAAUUAUUGGGCGUAAAGGGCUCGCAGGCGGUUUCUUAAGUCUGAUGUGAAAGCCCCCGGCUCAACCGGGGAGGGUCAUUGGAAACUGGGGAACUUGAGUGCAGAAGAGGAGAGUGGAAUUCCACGUGUAGCGGUGAAAUGCGUAGAGAUGUGGAGGAACACCAGUGGCGAAAGCGACUCUCUGGUCUGUAACUGACGCUGAGGAGCGAAAGCG
rnacentral:rRNA from 2 species